rnacentral:rRNA from 1 species
AUUGAACGCUGGCGGUAUGCUUAACACAUGCAAGUCGAACGGUAGCAGGUCUAGCUUGCUAGAUGCUGACGAGUGGCGGACGGGUGAGUAACGCGUAGGAAUCUGCCUUAUUGUGGGGGAUAACCUGGGGAAACUCAGGCUAAUACCGCAUGAGCCCUAAGGGGGAAAGCAGGGGAUCGCAAGACCUUGCGCUGAUUGAGCGGCCGAUAUCAGAUUAGCUAGUUGGUGAGGUAAAGGCUCACCAAGGCGACGAUCUGUAGCGGGUCUGAGAGGAUGAUCCGCCACACUGGAACUGAGACACGGUCCAGACUCCUACGGGAGGCAGCAGUGGGGAAUUUUGGACAAUGGGCGCAAGCCUGAUCCAGCCAUGCCGCGUGAGUGAAGAAGGCCUUCGGGUUGUAAAGCUCUUUCAGCCGGGAAGAAAACGCAUGGGUUAAUACCCUGUGUGGAUGACGGUACCGGAAUAAGAAGCACCGGCUAACUACGUG